rnacentral:sRNA from 1 species
UCGAUGUCUCCAUAGCCGUACCGGCUGC